CAAGAAGAGCAUUCCAUUGGCUUUGCUGUGUUACUGUGCCAUUGUCUCAACAGACAGGCAAAAACUCUACCUUGGUUUCUCAGGAAAUGGAAAUAAGUGGUGAGGUUGGAGUUUCCUGCUUCCAAGAAAAUUUUUUGGGCACUUGGAUAAAAUGCUACGCCAAGUCUCACAUCCUGACAGGAGGUUCAGGCCCAGCAGUUUCUCUCAGAAGGAGAAGCAAUGAAAAUAUAAAUAAGUCACAAAAUGGUCAAAAGGAAGAGGAAGGAAGCAAACGACAAGAAGGACAAAAAUAAAGGGUGGCU
rnacentral:lncRNA from 1 species